GACGAACGCUGGCGGCGUGCCUAAUACAUGCAAGUUGAGCGCUGAAGGUUGGUACUUGUACCGACUGGAUGAGCAGCGAACGGGUGAGUAACGCGUGGGGAAUCUGCCUUUGAGCGGGGGACAACAUUUGGAAACGAAUGCUAAUACCGCAUAAAAACUUUAAACACAAGUUUUAAGUUUGAAAGAUGCAAUUGCAUCACUCAAAGAUGAUCCCGCGUUGUAUUAGCUAGUUGGUGAGGUAAAGGCUCACCAAGGCGAUGAUACAUAGCCGACCUGAGAGGGGGAUCGGCCACAUUGGGACGGAGACACGGCCCAAACUCCUACGGGAGGCAGCAGUAGGGAAUCUUCGGCAAUGGACGAAAGUCUGACCGAGCAACGCCGGGGGAGUGAAGAAGGUUGUCGGAUCGUAAAACUCUGUUGGUAGAGAAGAACGUUGGGGAGGGUGGAAAGCUCAUCAAGUGACGGUAACUACCCAGAAAGGGGCGGCUAACUACGUG
rnacentral:rRNA from 1 species